GGUGAACGCUGGCGGCGUGCCUAAUACAUGCAAGUCGAGCGAACAGACGAGGAGCUUGCUCCUCUGACGUUAGCGGCGGACGGGUGAGUAACACGUGGAUAACCUACCUAUAAGACUGGGAUAACUUCGGGAAACCGGAGCUAAUACCGGAUAACAUGUUGAACCGCAUGGUUCAACAGUGAAAGACGGUCUUGCUGUCACUUAUAGAUGGAUCCGCGCCGCAUUAGCUAGUUGGUAAGGUAACGGCUUACCAAGGCAACGAUGCGUAGCCGACCUGAGAGGGUGAUCGGCCACACUGGAACUGAGACACGGUCCAGACUCCUACGGGAGGCAGCAGUAAGGAAUCUUCCGCAAUGGGCGAAAGCCUGACGGAGCAACGCCGCGUGAGUGAUGAAGGUCUUCGGAUCGUAAAACUCUGUUAUUAGGGAAGAACAAAUGUGUAAGUAACUAUGCACGUCUUGACGGUACCUAAUCAGAAAGCCACGGCUAACUACGUG
rnacentral:rRNA from 1 species